UGGGGAAAUGUAAUAUGGGCCAACAUGGUCACUGGAAGAAAAAAUUAACCCCAUGGACGAUUCAACUCAGGCUCUCUUUCUCUAAGAUAACCCCAUCGAUCUCUCAUUGAUUCUCUUCCGCGCGAAGCUCACUCAAUAUCUACUGAAAUUUUCUCUGUUUCUAGAAUCACACACAGGAUCGAAGAGAAUUAUUUCAACUUCCUACCAAGAACAAUUGAGAAUGAUUCAAUGGAACAAAUACAGGCAUACAAUUUGGCUGUAAUUGUGAUUAAGCAAAGUAACUGCAGAAUGUGUUGGCUCAAAUUGGGAAAUAGAUCCGUCACAGACUCACAGUCACUCUCUACGUGGAGAGAGCUGAUAGAUCGGUUUGGAGCUAAUUUUAAUGGAUUCAGUAUUUCAGUGUUAAGUAACUUAAGUUUGAUGUUAAUAAAUUUGACUUCAAUUUGGUGUUAGUUGUUAACUGGACAACUUCUUCUCUCUAUCAGUCUAUCUCUCUGUAUUUGGUAUUUUGGUGUUAUGUAAAUUUUGUAUAGAUUAGAAGCUUUGUAUUCCUCUGCAAAUUUUACAAGAAAAUCAAUUAAAUACCUUCUGAUUUCAAUAAUUCUUUUUUUUUUUUUUGGGUAACCCGUAACCAAGAAAAAGAAUUACAUUCUAUCUGUCACAUACAGGCUACAACAAUCCAAAAAAAAAAAAAAAAUAGCAAGUUUAGCAACUGUUAUUUUACAAAAAGUUUCUUUGAACAGAGUAAUUGAUAAUCGCAUUUUGAAUUCUUGAUCUUUUGAGAAAGUGGCAUAUGAAAUGAUUGUCACUUGCCCAAAAUAAAGGUUAGAAUCAAUCUGUUGGGGUAACUGAAUGACGAGGUUCUUUACAAAAAGGUUUAACCAAUCUACUUCCCUCUUUAAAGUUCCAACUUUCUUGUUUAUGUCAAUUAUAUACCAACAACUAACUUGAUACUUCAGUGCUAUGAAUUAUGAUAUGGUUCGAUUUAGUUAUUAAAUAAUUUUAUUCACCUUGUUAACCUUGAAAUUUAUAAAUCAAAACUAUAUAUAUACAUAUAGAAUUCCUGAUGGUUUUAUAAUUCUUCUCUGUACCUUAAUAGCUACUCAAGAAAAAAAAUAAAAUAAAAAAAUAGAGAAAAAAAAGAAUAAUAAUAAAAAAAGAAAAAACUGCCAAACUCGACUCUACAGUCGGUCGAGAGAAGAAAAGAAAAAAAAAAAAAAAAAAAAAAAAAAAACUGAGACAGAUCACAGAUCCGAGAAGAGAAGGAGAGAAGAAGAAGAGAAGGAAGAGGAGAGAAGAAGAAGAGAAGAAGAAGAGAGAGAAGAAGAAGAGAGAGAACGUACCGGCAGAGUCGCGGUGUCGCCGACGGCGUAGAUCCAGCAGAUCCGACACAGAUGACAGAUCCGAGACUGAGAGUAACUGUUGUCCAAGUCGUCGCCUCUGUGACCUCUGUCUCCGACUUUGUUUUGGUGUUUGUUCUUCUUUUGUUUUUUGUUUUUUUAAUGUGGUAACAAUGUGUUAUAAAACUAAUAAAAUAGAAACAAUAAAAUAAUAAAACAAAUUAAUAAAGUCAAUAAACAAACAAAAGUUAAAAUAUUACAACUUCCAUCAGGCGCGCCUUUAUAUCGCCUUUAGCCUUGCGCCUGUAGAGAAAAGGCGCUCGCCUUUUGCAACCCAUGCGCCUUAAGGUUCUAGAGGCGCUGAGAUGGCGCCUGAGGCGCCUUGCACCUCAGGCGCGCGCCUCCGGCGCCUUUGACAACUAUGGAGAGGAGUCUUAGGUUAUAGAGUUCACUACUAAGCAUUACCUUCCUAGACAUUCAAUAUUUGAUGGAUUAGGGGGAUUAUGUGUUGUUAAUGAAAGUGUGUGCCAUUAAUUGAAUUAUCAAGCAUGGAUGGCCAAGUAAGCAUAUAUUGUCUAGUCAAUCUAGUGAAUAGCACAACAUAUCAAAUUAAGCCAUCAAUCCUUCCAUAAGCCCACAAUUAAUUUACACUCAACAAGUUAAAGAAAUAUACCACUUGCAUUCAUAAGUAUGGAACAUUAAACAACAAGAAUGGAUUAUCCACCUAUCUAAGAAAGUAAAGCAAUUAAACUACAACUAUGCUAGUGACAUGAAAAUUAAACUAAUUAAACUAAGAAGGUGGCAUAAUCCAUUAAGAAAUAAGUAUAAACCAUCAAAUAAACUACAAGAGUGACCCAUUUAAGCACCAUGCCUUGACCAUCAUUAGAUUCAUACUAUCAACACACAUAGACAUGCAUCAAUGUCAUAAAACCUAGAGAAAAAUACAUGAAUAUUCAUUCUAGCAUAUAUAGACAUAUGGAUAGAAUUAAAUGAUCAAUUGGAAGUAUUUAACUUUACAAAUCAUUGUAAAAACAAGAUUCAUAUAUAUAAAAGAUGGCAAGAUAAGAAUUACAACACAAAUCCCCAUUAAUUACAAAUCAUCAAAGUCUAGGAGGCAUGCUUA